AUUUUGCAAUGAAAGGUGCCACUGUGCUGUUCUUAGAGAUGCUAAAUAAUUCACAUCCGAUAGGUUUCAACACAUCUUAUCUGAUAAAUUGUGAUUUUCUUAAAUUGAGAUUGAGUUGAAAUGUGUUGAAUUUUUUAAAAAGAAACAAGAUUUGGUUAGAAAUGUGUUUAAAGUGUUUUAUCUUGACCCAUUUCGAGGUGUUUAUGAAAGUAUAUAUUUUAUUAUUUAUUUAGUUUUAUACAUAUAUGUAUUAUAUUAAUGUAGUAAAUUUUACCUUAAUAUAAGAAAUUUAUAUUUUAUGCUAAACCUGAGAUGUCAAUGUAGCACUUUUUGUGAGGUUUUUUUUUUAAUUUUUUCUAUUUAACUUUUUCCCACUUUUUUAUUGUUUUUGUAUUUAUUUUUUUAGAUUAAUGUUAUCAGAAAAUAGGGCCAAUUAAGGUAUCCACAUUUCAUUUUUGUAUUUUUUUUCUUUCAUUUUCUUUUUCCUUAGAUAAAAUUUCCAAAAAAUACGAUGAAUAGAUAUAAUGGUAAUAACAACAAAAUAAAUCUUAUAUCUCAUAACUCUAUGAUCGAUUGUAAGAAAAACCAAAAAAAUAUUCAUAUUAGAUCACAGUUUUCAAUUUUCUUAUGCCAUUCAUUUCUAUGAAAAAAUAAACUUUUCAUCUACUUUUUUAACCUUCAUAUAAUUUCUUAUUACUUAUAUCUAUGUUUUCCAUUGUUUACCUCUUAAAUCUUAAAGCUCAUUUCUCCUAAAUGGUGCAUAGAUAGCCCUACAUUUUGCAUGCUCAGACUAUUUCAAAUGAUACUCUCUUUUCUUUUCCUUAGCAAUCCUGCUUGAAUCCUAUGAUUUAUAACCCUUUCUAUCAUAGUAUCGCUCAGAAUAAUUAAUCCUAAAUAUAAAAAAUAACUACUAUUUGAUUCUACCUUACUAUCCAAUUUAAUCGCACUAUCACUCACUUCUUUAUGAUCUCUAAACUUACAUUUCAUAUAUUUAGUUUUAAAUUUACUCAAUUUAAAGCCUCAAGACUCCAAUAUAUGCCUCCAUAAUUCUAAUUUUGUAUUAUGAUCAUCAUUAGUUUCAAUAACUAAGAUUAUAUUAUCAAUAAAUAACAUGCACUAUGGCACCUUGUCUUGGAUAUGUUUAGUGAGCUUGUCCAUAACUGAUGCAAAUAGAAAUUGACUUAAUAUUGAGUCUCGAUGCAAUCCCAAGGUAAUAGGAAAGCCAUCAAUAAUGCCUCCAAACAUCUUCACAUUCAUUGCAACUCAUUUAUACAUAUCUUUAACUAUAUUAAAGCACUUUAAAGGAACUCUUAUUUUCAUUAAGACCCACCAAAGCAUCUUUUGAGAAAUUCUAUCAUAUGCUUUCUUUAAAUUGAUAAAUACCAUAUGUAAAUUUUUCAUUCUCUCCCAAAAACCUUCCAGCAAAUGCCUAAAUAGGUAAAAGCCUAAAUUGGUUUUCAAAAAUAACGACCUCAUGUCGCAACCUACAUUUAAUUACUCUCUCUAAAAGUUUCAUAGUAUAACUCAUAAACUUUAUUUCUUGAUAGUUUGAAUAAUUUUGUAUAUCACCUUUAUUCUUGUAUAAAGAUACUAGAGUACUCGUCCUUUAUUCUUCUAAUAUCUUUUGAAUAUGUCAAAUUUUAUUAAAAAGAUCCUUUAACCAUCCUAUCUUUAUUUCACCUAAAUAUUUUCAAACUUUAAUUAGGAUUCCAUUAAGUCCUACAGCUUUUUUUACUUUCACCAUUCUCAAAGCAUCUUUAAUGUUAUACCUUUAAAUAUUCCAUUUAAACAUAUGAUUUAUAUCCUUAAAAGGUUUGAUUUUAUUAAUAAGAGAGGUGGACAAAUCGUUGCUUGAUUGAGAUCCACAAAUAGGGAUCUUACCUCUGAGUCCGCUAGCGGAUAGGUAGUAUCCAUCGUGAAAAGAUUGAUUCGAGUAGAAAUCUAGCUGCCCUUCCUCACUGACAGCGUUCUAUCCUACUGGGGUCGAUUGUUACUUUUUUUUUCACCCCAUAAUUUUAGCCACCUCGGUAUCCAAAAGCAAAGAGCAAAAAUGACUGCUCGAGAAGGCGGAGCCCCUUUUGGCUACUGCAAGCAAUAAGCCCAUUUAUAUCAUGCUCAAAAUUGCCACUAAAGAGAUUAUCAAAAUAAUCUCUCAAUUUCUUUUUAAUCUCUUCAUCCUUCACUAUUUUGCUACUACCUUUGAUGCAUCUUGUGUCAUUAAGAUCCUUACUUUUGUUAUCCCACUUUUUAGCUAUUUUCAACAACUUUUUUUCUUCAUCUAUUGUCUUUAGUUUUCAAUGUAAUUUCUCAUAAAUCCUAGUCUUUGAAUCUCAAAUAGCCUUUUCGACUUCCUUUUUUAUUAUCUUAUACUUCAUAUAACUUGUCUCAUCUUUAUUGUUUCUUAAAUUCCUAUAACACUCG
rnacentral:lncRNA from 1 species